ACACUACCCAACAUAAUAUUUCAUCUCCCAACAACUCAUUCACUUUAAUUUGAAUUUCAAAUUUUAGAUUUUUCAAUCCUAUCUUUUCUCUUUCAUACUCAAAUCUCUCUUUCUUCUAAUUUCUCAUUUGUUUUUGCCCUGUCUCACCUUUCCACGCUCAAACAAAGAUGAGAAAGAAAACAACAAUGGCUGAAGAAGGGAGAAAGAAGAAGAUUCAUAGCAGAAAAAGAAUAUCAGGAAGAAAGAAGAAUGUAACAUGGUUUUAUGAAUACACACCAUGUGUUUGACAAAAUGUUCAUUCUAGGUUCUUUAUAUACAUAUUUUCUCCAAUAUGACAUUAACAAAAAAAAAAAUUAUGUCUAUGAAGUUGAAUCUUGGUAGCUCUCCAUGGAAAGUGAGUUACAAAAGAAAAUCUUCAUUAGGUGAGCAUUGUUUCUCUCCACGUGCUAGCCGAAAUAGAGGCCAAAGAUCAAAAGAAAAAGGUUGGUAUAUGUUCUGUCGAAGCUGAUACACAACAGGUCAAAGCUUCAUCAACAUCUCAAACUUUCACCGAACAAGUUCAACAGGUAUAAGCUUCAUUAUGUGCUGCAGCCUUUCAUUUAUUUUUUUACUCUUUUUAUAAUAUGAGUCGGAUUACCUUUGAGAUGAAGAUUAAACAUUUUUUAUAGAGAUUAACAUAUGCAGGAUUUGUAACUAUAACAGAAUCCAAAAGAACAUUUAUGUUUUCAAAGUAAUACUUCACUUAUACUAACAUAGGGAAGUAUAAGUUCACUUAUUGUAAGUCUAUGAGCAAGUUUAACCCAACAACUAACCUUUUCAUGUCUAUUUUUCAUUAUCACAAAUUUAUUAAACAAAAAUGCUUUUUUGUCGAAAGUAAAUAUGUUUUCUCAACCUUACAAAUUAAGUCUUUUUUGUUAUCUACAUUUACUUUUGAACUAUGCCUUUUUUAAUUUUUAAGUUGAUCAUAUAGUAAACUGAUAUAGUUAAAGCCUAUACUUUUACAAGAAACUUUUUGUGUUAGGGUUGUUACCACUUCACACAUUAGGGUUUCAAACCAAGGUUGGUAUUUUCUUGGCUGUCAUGAAUGCCCAUUAAAGGUUGAAGCAACUGCAUCAUGCUAUGAAUGUAAAAAGGGACAUAAGACUAAUGAUCCUCUGCUCAAUUCAAUCCAUUGGCUGCUUUACUGGCAUGGGAGACUUAUUUGAGAAACCUGCAAAACAUGAUUGUCUGCUGACAACACAUAUGAAAUACAAAGUAACAUCAUUCAAUCCUCAUCCGAAAUGAUUUCACAAAGUUCAUUUUCUGGUUUCAACCGAUCUGCAGAAGAUAAGUUCAUUUUGGGUCAUCCAGUCAUAAAAAUCAAACACAUCAUCAAGCUUCCAAAGGACCAAAUAUGUGUCAUUGUUGGAACAACCUCACAUCCGAGUUUCUGCUAACGGUUGGUCCUUUCCUGGUUGCAAAGAUUGUAUUAAACAAUGCUAUGGAUCAACACCACCGUUUGAAUGUAAGGAUGGCCACCCAACUGAUGAACCAAUUCUAAGAUAUAAGAUCGAUAUUCAAAUCUUCGAUGGCGAUGAUUCAGCAAAAUUUAUCUUCUUGGAUGAUACUUGUAUUGAUCUAUUGGGUAAAACAUCGUCACAGCUGAGGCAAAAGAUGCUUGAUCUAGGAUUUACAGAUACUUCUGACUACCGUAAAGACAUCGAUGAUCUCAUGGGACGAACAUUUGCUUUCCGUGUCAAUUGGCAAUCUCACUGGAAACAAUGUUCUGUUUUAGCUUGCUUGGAUAGCAAAUUCAUGGUUGAGACCCUGCAAGCAUAAUUGCUUAAGGAUGAGCUCAAUGUUGGAGGUAAUUCAUUUGUCAAUUUCAUAGACAACCAAGACUGUCAUGAUGAAAUUCAAAGUAUUGCACGCUUUCGAACCCACUUCGAAACACUACCAUCCAUUACCAUAAGAAGGUGUUUCCGCUACUUCUAAACAUGACCCUGAAUUUUAUCAAACUGUUACUCCAACAAAGCUCCCACCAAUACCUCAUAUUCAAUAAGAACCCAUUGCUGCACAACUCUCCUCUACCAAAAGAGCAGCAACACCCCCGUGUUCCACUCGAUACCAGUACUACCCGCAACACUGAACUGAAAAUAGCAUCAACACUUCCUAUUCUAGAAGAAAACUUUGAUGAACAACUCGAAGAACAUACCAGAGCAGCACCAUUGUCAUCUUCCAAAAGACCACCCAAACCCCGUGUUCCAGUCAAUACCGUUGGUCACCGCAACACAGAACUUAAAACAUCAAUACUUUUGCAUUACCAUUGAUAAUCCCUUUCCUUCAAAUUCAAUUUAUAUUAUUACAGUAUUAUCAAAAUUAAAAACAUAAUAAUCAUAAACAUUUCUCCAUAAAACAAAUUCAAGAAAUGUGAGUUUUUUUAUUUGGUACAUGACACCAGAGAAGUAGGAAACUAGAGAGGUGAACAAACACACACAUUGAUCUAUGUGUGCACUUAAUUUGUCAAUAGAAUAGUCUUGAUAGUACUUUAAUCCUUGUCACAAAUACAAGGAGUUACAUAUGUCGCUUGGUAUGUUCUUAA